CUACGCAUCGGGACGGGAUGAGGGCAAUGUUGUGUUUUUAGACUAAUAUUGCACUUGUCCCGGCCUAUGCGUGG
rfam:Anopheles farauti strain FAR1 unplaced genomic scaffold supercont2.1, whole genome shotgun sequence.